rnacentral:rRNA from 1 species
GACGAACGCUGGCGGCGUGCUUAACACAUGCAAGUCGAACGGAAAGACCCUGCUUUUGUGGGGUGCUCGAGUGGCGAACGGGUGAGUAACACGUGAGUAACCUGCCCUUGACUUUGGGAUAACUUCAGGAAACUGGGGCUAAUACCGGAUAGGAGCUCCUGCUGCAUUGUGGGGGGUGGAAAGUUUAGGCGGGUGGGGCUGGACUCGCGGCUUAUCAGCUUGUUGGUGGGGUAGUGGCUUACCCAGGCUUUGACGGGUAGCCGGCCCGAGAGGGUGACCGGCCACAAUGGGACUGAGGUACGGACCAGACUCCUAUGGGAGGCAGCAGUGGGGAACAUUGCCCAACGGGCGGAAGUGUGAUGAAGCGACGUCGCGUGCGUGAUGACGGCCUUCGGGUUGUAAACAGCUUUCGCCUGUGACGAAGCGUGAGUGACGGUAAUGGGUAAAGAAGCACCGGCUAACUACGUG